CUCUGGUCCCUCCGCAAGUGUUAGCCGCGAACCCCGCCAGGCCCGGAAGGGAGCAACGGUAGUGGUCAAAUGCUGUGCCGGAGUGUGGCUUUUGGGA
rnacentral:SRP_RNA from 1 species